UAGAGAAGGGCCUAUGGGUGUCCAGUUACUCAGUGUUUUUAUUAAUUUGGGUUCUAUGCAAAAAAGAAAUCUACCUCAUCUCUUCAUAAGAAUAUCUGGAGGAGGGUCCAGAACCCAAAUGAAAGGUCAGAGUGACCACCAAACAAUUCUUAGCAAUCGAGCUUCAUCUUUGAUAACCCUCACCAUGCCCAUCUCUUCCUCUCAGAGCCUCACUCCAACUCUGGAUUUCACACACUGGAAGUAUCUUCCAUUCUUUCAGACUGACCCUGUGAUUGGAUGGAUCCUUUUGUAUCUUUACACUUAAAGAGGGCACUCAGGCAAGCCAAGUCUCAUUCCUCUCCAGGAUGUGCUCAGGACUUCCUCU